rnacentral:lncRNA from 1 species
CUCUCUCUCUCUCUCUAAAUACUUAUUGUCCUUCGUCCGAUCAACAAACGCCCCUCCCUCUCUUUCUCUUCCAUUACCCAGCAUACUCUUCUUCUCCUCCUCCUCCGCCUUCUUCUUCAUCCUCCAAGAAAAUCAAGAACGCCUACUCUCUCUCUUUAGAGUAGAGAGUUUUUUAAUACCUAAGAGACUCUUGCUCUAAAGAAUACAGAUUGAGGAUGCAGGCUGCACGGGUGAGGACAGCGGUGCGUAUGAUGGUUGGUGCGUUUCUUGUGGUUGGGGCGGCAGUGGUGGUCAUUGGGGUGUUGAUGGCGAAGAUCCCACAUUUUCCGAUGAACCUAGGGUUCACCCUCAUUGGGGUGCUUUUUCUGAUCGCUACGGCCUUCUGGGGACGGUAUUAUUAUGUGAAAUUGUACCCACCACUAGUUGUUCCGCCACCGAUAGUGAAUAAUGGCUUGUAGACGGUGCACCUUCAGCAGCAACAGUAGAGAGAGAAAGAGAGGGAGGAGUUGAGUACUUGAGUUUUAUGAAAGGUUAGCUCAUCUCUCUCUGAUCGUAUCUCUCUCUGCUUUAGCGUCAUCUCUAUCGCUUUAAGCGUUGAUCUUUCUCUCUCUUUCUCUGUUUGUUCGUUACUCUCUCUCGCUCGGCUUUAAACAUUCAUCUCCCUUUCUCUCUCUUGUAAGCGGCGGAUAUACAUGGAAGGCCUUUCUCUCUCAAUUCUAUGAGGUUUAUAGGUUUGAUGUGGAUAUUUUCUUGAUGCUACUUUCUCCCACAUGCAUCGCUUUCGAGCAUGAGUUCAUCAGUUUCCCUUAUGACUGCUUUUCCGCUCUCUCUCUUUGUCUCUGUUUUUGUUGUUUGUGAUUGGUGUUUUGAAUAUCAGAACAGAAUGGAGUUUAUGUUGUAAUCUGUAUGGUUCAAUCUAUGGAAUAAACAUAAGAUCUGUCCCCUGUUGUUCAUGUAUGAGUUCACCCCAAAUGUUUGUGAUUGGUGUUUUGAAUAUCAGAACAGAAUGGAGUUUAUGUUGUAAUCUGUAUGGUUCAAUCUAUGGAAUAAAUAUAAGAUCUGUCCCCUGUUGUUCAUGUAUGAGUUCACCCCAAAUGUGAUGGAUACACAAUGUAUGUUAAUAAACAUAAGAUCUGUCCCCUGUUUGGGGCGCUCUGUUUUUGUUGCAUAUUUUCCAACUCAGCAGAUUCUUGUGCUUCUCCUC